UCACCCUUACUCUCGAGGCUGAUCCUGAUUCUAAGAAAUAAAGCUUGCUCACCAUGGAAAUUGAUAAUACUUAACCCGCUAUCACUACAGUUCGAGCAUCCCCAGAAAAAUCUCAAACCCCAAAUCCCCCAAAAUCCAAAACUUUUGAGCAUCAACAUAAUGCCACAAAUGGAAAAUAAUACACCUGACCUAUAUGGGAGUCACAGUCAAAACAUAGCCACCCUAAAAAUACUGUAUAAAACUACUCUUAGGUUAAUUUGUAUAAAUAUAUGAAACACAAAUGAAUUUAGACUUGGGUUACAUCCACAGGAUGCAUCGUUGUGUAUAUACACAUAUUCCAGAAUCUGAAAAAAGUCCAAGACUUCUGGCCUCAGUCAUCUCAGAUAAGGCAGCAGACUUUGGUCUUCCUGGCCAAAGGGUACACCUUGACAGUGUGGAAGCAAACCUGCUUGAAGACAACCCUCUCCCUCACUGUUCUCCUCUGAUGUCCUGCUUGGGCAUUAAGGACUAGGCUGUGGGGAGAGAGGGAGAAGAACAACAGGAAGAAAGAAGAUUCUGUGGGGAACAAAGAAUGCAAAUGCUAGUGACAGCCCUCUAGCCAUGUGGAUUAUCUUUGCCGUGACCAAAUCCCUGACACGCACAGUUUAAAAGAGGAAAAGUUUAUUUGGUUUAUGGUUGCAGAUAUUUCAGUUCAUGGAAUUUCACCCAGGAUGAAUUCCUGCCCAAAUGUCGAUUUUAUUGGCUGUCUCCCAUGACAUUUCUUCAUGUUUUGCCACGGUGAAAAUAAAAAAAAGAUCAAGGUUAGUUUGGGAGCAUCAAAAUAAUGAAGAGACCCCCGUUCAUUUUGUCUUACUUUGCUAAAGAACCAAAUUUGAGGAAGUCUACAGCAGGGUGAAGUAAAAGGAUUGUCAGAAGUUUCCUUAGAGAAGGGCAGAGAAAAAGAGGAAGCAGUGGGAGAAGAUAAGCUCUGGAAAUCCAGUCUGGUUUGUGUGAGGAAAUCACCUUUUUCAAAUGGGAAGCGGAUCAGGAGAUGGAGGGAGAGGGAGAGAGGAGGAAAGGGGAUUGAGGAAAGGAAGGAAGAUGUGUAACUGCACCAGCUCUGUACAAGGAGUGUAAACAUCAUGUGCUGCAAACAUGGAGUAAUGGAAAAACUAAAACAUCACGGAGACGCAGCUGCACAGGGAAAGUGUUACAUCCACGUAGUCCUCAUCUUGAGAGCAGUCACGUGUGAUGUAUUGUUAAUCUCGAGUGGGAGGAAACCCACAACUAAUCUCAGAAAGAGCAAAUGGGUGAACCUGCAUAGAAGAAAUAUUUCCAAAAAAAAGAAACAACGAGUUCAAAUAGCAAAGAAAAUAAGGUACUGGCACUGAAUGAAAUAUGAAUAGAUGAUGUUCUUCCAUUAAGCUUAAAGACCAGGGGUUGAGAUUUGGUGGGGGAAGAGGCUGUCUACAAGAGACACUGCACAUCAGUAAAGAAAGACAGAAAGUGAAGGACCUACAAAGAUCAAGUUUAUGCCAAUUAUAAAUGGGAAAAUGUAUGAGAAUGUGUGACACAAACAUGUAAAUAUCAAGCCACUUAACAACUAGCCAAAUACAUAGAGAAAACCAUUGGGAAUUUGAUAAAUCUUAUAAAAUAUGAUUCUGACUAAAGAUUCCAGUGCUUCUUGGCCCGAAUCAGACAGAAUGAAAGCAACCAAGGACUGAGAAAGACAAUCUUACGUCACUUAAAGAUCAACAUGCCGGCGUCCUGUACUCUGAACUUUCUGAUGCUGAUACCGUCUUGAUUUCUUAAUCUUUCCAGAACACUUCAUCUAAGGGUUAACGUAUCUACAUCACUACCCCUGUGGGAAGACAACCAUGACAUGAUGCAUUCAGUUCCACAGAGGUUAAAAUGUAGGAAACAAGGGAUUAUUUUAGAAUCAAAGUUAUGGCUUUUUUUUAUGUGUCAAUAAAAUAUUUGCACAAGAAUGUCAUAUACUUGACUACAAAGUAUGAAUUGUGAUAAAAGUCUAUUUUAAUAAAUAAAUAAAAGUCUGUUUAAAGAAGAAAUCUGAUCAACAAAAUCUCAAAGUCUUGAAAGACUCAAAGGUUAAGAAAGACAUUCCUGGAUGACCCUUAUGUCAAAGAUAAAAUUGAAAAACUAAACAUUUUAGAAAAGAAUGAACUGAAGAACAAUUUUCACCAAGUCUUAUAGAACAGAGAACUUUUCAGUGAAACUUCUAGCCUUUAAAUGCUUUCAUUAUUAAGAACAAAAGAAAGAUUAAAAGUAAAGGGAUUCAGAAUUUAUCUGUAAAAAUUAAAUCAAGGACCACAAAUAAACCGAUGUCAGCAGAAGAGUCAAUAAAGAAAGUUCAACAUAUUAGUCAAGAUACAUAGAGAAACAGAAUAUUAAAUAUAAUGUAGGACUUCAGUCUGAGGUCAGUGGAAAACCUUUAAAAAGUUUGAAAUCCUAAGAGUUACAUAACGAAUGUAGACGUUUCUGGCAACAUAAAAAUUAAAAUUAGAUUUAACAAAAUCAACACAAAAGCAACAGACAGGAAAUAAAUCAUCAUUUUAUAUAAAUGACAGACACAUGGUCAGUGUGUAAAAUAUGCAAUAAUUCUUAAAUGACAAAAUGGAAGGGCACACAAAGAGAAAAAACUUCAGCAAGGCAAAUAAAAUUGAACAAGAACAUUUGAAAAAAUGUUCAAACACACUAGCAGCCAAGAGAAAACAAAUGAAAUAGCAGUAACUCUUUGACUGAUUGAUUGACUUAUUAUUUUUAUUGUUUUGAGAAGAGUCUUGCGCUAUAGUUCAGGCUGGCCUUGAACUCAUAGUGAUCCUCCUGCCUCAGCCUCCCUAGGAUUACAGGCAUGUGCCACCACACCCAGCCUUCAAUUUAUGAGAUUAAUAAAAAUUGAGACAUAACACUUGUCUUAGCAGAGGGUAAAGAUUUACAAUAAGCACUAAAAAUGAAGAUUUUAGAAAAUAUUUUCAAAUUACCCGUAUACCUAUCUAGAAAUGCAGUUAAACUCUACUAAAAUAUUUUGGCUUAAACAAUGGACUUGAUAUUAGGUAAGCCAUGACAGUAACAAGUUG
ensembl:lncRNA